GUGCGGCGCUGGGACUGCAGCUGGCGGAGUGAAUUCCUGGGCCAGCGCGCAUGCGUCGGCAGGUAGCAACCCAGCUCUUUAUGACCAGGUGAGAUGUUGGUGAGCAGGUAAAAAAGGAGGAUUUGCCUAAGCGAUUCCAGGGAGCUGGCCCGACCGAGCCCUCCAGCCCAUGCCCGGCGGGGACCAGUCGCCAGGAGCGCAGAGCCGCGAUGUCCAUACUUGCCAAAAUGGGGGACUGGCAGGACCGUCACGACGGCACCAGCAACGGGACGGCACGGUUGCCCCAGCUGGGCACUCCUGAACCCCCUGCACGCCCAGCCGCAGCCGCAGCACCCAGGCUGGCCCGGCCAGAGGCAGAGCCAGGAGUCUGGGCUCCUGCACACGCACCGGGGGCUGCCUCACCAGCUGUCGGGCCUGGAUCCUCGCAGGGACUACAGGCGGCACGAGGACCUCCUGCACGGCCCACACGCGCUCAGCUCAGGACUCGGAGACCUCUCGAUCCACUCCUUACCUCACGCCAUCGAGGAGGUCCCGCAUGUAGAAGACCCGGGUAUUAACAUCCCAGAUCAAACUGUAAUUAAGAAAGGCCCCGUGUCCCUGUCCAAGUCCAACAGCAAUGCCGUCUCCGCCAUCCCUAUUAACAAGGACAACCUCUUCG
rnacentral:ncRNA from 2 species